rnacentral:rRNA from 1 species
UACGUAGGGUGCAAGCGUUGUCCGGAAUUAUUGGGCGUAAAGAGCUCGUAGGCGGUUUGUCGCGUCUGCUGUGAAAACCCAGGGCUUAACCCUGGGCUUGCAGUGGAUACGGGCAGACUAGAGGCAGGUAGGGGAGAAUGGAAUUCCCGGUGUAGCGGUGAAAUGCGCAGAUAUCGGGAGGAACACCGGUGGCGAAGGCGGUUCUCUGGGCCUGACCUGACGCUGAGGAGCGAAAGCGUGGGGAGCGAACAGG